rnacentral:rRNA from 1 species
GGGGUAGCCGGAAUUCCUGGUGUAGCGGUGAAAUGCGUAGAUAUCAGGAGGAACACCAGUGUCGAAGGCGGCUUUCUGGUCCGGGAAUUGACGCUGAGGAACUAAAGCGUGGGUAGCAAACAGGAUUAGAUACCCUGGUAGUCCACGCCCUAAACGAUGGAUACUUGAUGUCGGGAUGUUCGUUCGUCUCGGUGUCGUAGCUAACGUGUUAAGUAUCCCGCCUGGGGACUACGGUCGCAAGACUGAAACUCAAAGGAAUUGACGGGGGCCCGCACCAGCGGUGGAACAUGUGGUUUAAUUCGAUGCAACGCGGAGAACCUUACCUGGGCUUGACAUAUAUAUGAAGUAUGUAAGAAAUUAUGUAUUCUGUCUGUUUUUUCAGAUAGCAUAUAUACAGGUGAUGCAUGGCUGUCGUCAGCUCGUGUCGUGAGAUGUAGGGUUAAGUCCCUUAACGAGCGCAACCCUUGCUUUUAGUUGCCAUCAGGUAAUGCUGGGGGCUCUAGAAGGACUGCCGAGGUUAACUCGGAGGAAGGUGGGGAUGACGUCAAGUCAGUAUGUCCCUUAUGUCCAGGGCUACACACGUGUUACAAUGGACGGUACAGAGUGCAGCUACGCCGUGAGGCUACGCAAAUCACUUAAAGCCGUUCCCAGUUCGGAUUGGAGUCUGCAAUUCGACUCCAUGAAGUUGGAAUCGCUAGUAAUCGCAGAACAGCAUGCUGCGGUGNUACGUUCCCGGGCCUUGACACACCGCCCGUCACGCCAUGGAAGUUGGGAGUACCCAAAG